CCAGAACUUCUGAAAUUCCUUUACAUGCGCUAUAAUAUAGUAAUAAUAUAGAGCAUGUAAAGGGAUUUCCAAAGUUCUGG